AGUGAACGCUGGCGGUAGGCCUAACACAUGCAAGUCGAACGGCAGCACAGUAAGAGCUUGCUCUUACGGGUGGCGAGUGGCGGACGGGUGAGGAAUACAUCGGAAUCUACUUUUUCGUGGGGGAGAACGUAGGGAAACUUACGCUAAUACCGCAUACGACCUACGGGUGAAAGCAGGGGAUCUUCGGACCUUGCGCGAUUGAAUGAGCCGAUGUCGGAUUAGCUAGUUGGCGGGGUAAAGGCCCACCAAGGCGACGAUCCGUAGCUGGUCUGAGAGGAUGAUAGGCCACACUGGAACUGGGACACGGUCCAGACUCCUACGGGAGGCAGCAGUGGGGAAUAUUAGACAAUGGGCGCAAGCCUGAUCCAGCCAUACCGCGUGGGUGAAGAAGGCCUUCGGGUUGUAAAGCCCUUUUGUUGGGAAAGAAAAGCAGCAGGUUAAUACCCCGCUGUUCUGACGGUACCCAAAGAAUAAGCACCGGCUAACUUCGUG
rnacentral:rRNA from 1 species